CGCUAUCACUCCUACGGGGAGGCAGCAGUAGGGAAUCCUCCACAAUGGGCGCAAGCCUGAUGGAGCAACACCGCGUGAGUGAAGAAGGGUUUCGGCUCGUAAAGCUCUGUUGUUAAAGAAGAACACGUAUGAGAGUAACUGUUCAUACGUUGACGGUAUUUAACCAGAAAGUCACGGCUAACUACGUGCCAGCAGCCGCGGUAAUACGUAGGUGGCAAGCGUUAUCCGGAUUUAUUGGGCGUAAAGAGAGUGCAGGCGGUUUUCUAAGUCUGAUGUGAAAGCCUUCGGCUUAACCGGAGAAGUGCAUCGGAAACUGGAUAACUUGAGUGCAGAAGAGGGUAGUGGAACUCCAUGUGUAGCGGUGGAAUGCGUAGAUAUAUGGAAGAACACCAGUGGCGAAGGCGGCUACCUGGUCUGCAACUGACGCUGAGACUCGAAAGCAUGGGUAGCGAACAGGAUUAGAUACCCUGGUAG
rnacentral:rRNA from 1 species